rnacentral:pre_miRNA from 1 species
AGGUAUCGUAGUGCAGCCAAGGAUGACUUGCCGGCGACAUAUCUGUGUAGCAGUUGUUUCCUUUCAUUUUGAAACCAUGGCUCUGUUAUAAUUAAAGUGGAUAUGUCUGUGUAUUAACAUGCUUAGCGAAGUAAAAAAAAAAUGUAUUUAAUUAACUUUGAGCAUAACAUGCAACUGUUAGACGAUUCCCAUGCUGGAGAAAAGGUUUCAUCUUUCAUGUAGAGAAGUCGAUCGGCAAGUUGUCUUUGACUAUAUUUCUACCUCG